UCUCACUAAAAAUGCUUUCUGGAAAUUUUCUCUUUCUUUUAUGUUCUCUUGAUUUUCAUAUCGGCGUAGCGAAAUCUGUUACUGAUCAAUGUAUAGGACUGAGUUUGGAAACGGAGAAUCGGUUCGAUAUUUGGUUGCUUCGGUUUCUGAAAUGCAGGUCUGUAAUGGAUGCAUGAAUAUAUAGCUUUGAAAUAUUGCAUCGAUAUUUGCAUUAGAAAAUGGAGUCACGAUGAUUGAGGUACGUACGCUGUUAAAAUAUUGUGCGCCUUACGAAUUUAUUUAGUUAUAUGUGGAUCGAUGAAUGAUUCCUCUCGUGUUUGUUCUAAAUGAUUGGUUCGAUCGAUCAUCUUUUAUUUAGUCGGCACGGCAGCCAUUGCUGUCAAGGUUCGUUCCUCUGUCGUGCCAAUUUAGAAUUUGUAUCAUCCUUCGAUUUUCGAUGGGAUUUUUUUCCGUUUCCGUCGAUAUAUUGCUUUGUUUCUUUGGAAGGAAACCGCAAUUAAUCUUGUAAACAUUCUUUGUGGAAGAAUGUCGGAUGAUCAGAUACUCGAUUCCGUCAUAUGCAUUAACAAGUUCUUUCACAAAGACCUUGUUAUGGCCUUAUAUAAUCCGAGGGAAUUUUCUC